rfam:Triticum aestivum genome assembly, contig: Triticum_aestivum_CS42_TGACv1_scaffold_166165_2DL
CAAAUACUCCCUCCGUCCGGAAAUACUUGUCAUCAAAAUGGAUAAAAGGAAAUGUAUCUAGACGUAUUUUAGUUUUAGAUACAUCUCUUUUUAUCCAUUUUGAUGACAAGUAUUUUCGGACAGUGGGAGUAGAAA